UACGUAGGGGGCAAGCGUUGUCCGGAAUCAUUGGGCGUAAAGCGCACGUAGGCGGCCUGUUAAGUCGGAUGUGAAAGCCCCGGGCUCAACCCGGGAAGUGCAUACGAAACUGGCAGGCUUGAAUAUGGAAUAGGGUCGCGGAAUUCCCGGUGUAGAGGUGAAAUUCGUAGAUAUCGGGAGGAACACCAGUGGCGAAGGCGGCGACCUGGGCCAAUAUUGACGCUGAGGUGCGAAAGCGUGGGGAGCAAACAGG
rnacentral:rRNA from 1 species